rnacentral:rRNA from 1 species
ACGGGUGAGUAACGCGUGGGAAUCUACCGUACCCUACGGAAUAGCUCUGGGAAACUGGAAGUAAUACCGUAUACGCCCGUAAGGGGAAAGAUUUAUCGGGGUAUGAUGAGCCCGCGUUGGAUUAGCUAGUUGGUGGGGUAAAGGCCUACCAAGGCGACGAUCCAUAGCUGGUCUGAGAGGAUGAUCAGCCACAUUGGGACUGAGACACGGCCCAAACUCCUACGGGAGGCAGCAGUGGGGAAUAUUGGACAAUGGGGGCAACCCUGAUCCAGCCAUGCCGCGUGAGUGAUGAAGGUCUUAGGAUUGUAAAGCUCUUUCAACGGUGAAGAUAAUGACGGUAACCGUAGAAGAAGCCCCGGCUAACUUCGUGCCAGCAGCCGCGGUAAUACGAAGGGGGCUAGCGUUGUUCGGAAUUACUGGGCGUAAAGCGCACGUAGGCGGGUAUUUAAGUCAGGGGUGAAAUCCCGCAGCUCAACUGCGGAACUGCCUUUGAUACUGGGUAUCUUGAGUAUGGAAGAGGUAAGUGGAAUUGCGAGUGUAGAGGUGAAAUUCGUAGA